rnacentral:lncRNA from 1 species
GGAUUACAGAGGUCUUUCAGAGUUGGCUAAAAGGUAGAGAAAACAUUAAGGAAAUUGAGGAAUCUUGACACCUGAAACAAUGGAGGAGGUUGGAUUUGGCCAAAGUUUCUAGCUUCUACUUUGCAAGUAUCCCAGAGUAAAGAAUGCAAAGAGCCUUGCUACCUUGGAGAAUAUGGACAAAACCCCUCAAUGAAUAGCUCACAAUAUGAUUCUGACACAAUAUCCUGUUAUAUAGUUGUACAGUAUUUUGGCUGAGACUAGGAUCCCCAGAUGUUGGAAGAUAUGCAUCUAUCAAGGAAAGAGGAAAAACUAACUUUUAAGAUGUUCUACAGGUGGGUAACUGGAUUACUGAUACAUCUGGUAAAAACUACACAGUCCCAGAAAUCCUUCAUCUGACCUAGAAGAGAAACAGUUUUGAAUUUAGGAUAUAAUUUCCCAGGAAAGUG